AGCGGUAGAGGAGCCGGAGUGGCACGAUGCUCUGGCGCUCCAGGAAGCGGUUUUCGUUCCUCCUCUCCAGCUCCGUCAACGAGGCGUCUCCUCCAGGCAGGACGAGGGACGGUGUGAAAGUGCCCGACAGUGCUUAGAGGAGCAUCGUUAACUCAGCCAGGGGAGUCAAGAGAGAACAUCAAGAAGCUCUACUGGAAGGGUGUCUUGAAUAUAGCCCAAGUCUCCAGGAUAUUUUGUUCUUUCUCUGAUCUCUGCCUGUCUCAAACCUGUUUGUGAAAACCAGACUUGGGGAACUCUACUUUCUCAGGCUGCUAAUUCCAUUUUUCUCUAAUUCCAAAUGUUAGAAACUCUUUUGAGGAUAAGACAGUAAUACAAUACAUACAAUUCAGUAAUUAGUUAUCACCGUAAUUAACACUUGUAUAGUGUGAUACAGUUUUUCUGGGGUCACAUAUAAUGUCGUUUGAUCUUCGGGUCAGCAAUUUAAUAAGUGUUAUUAUUCCCAUUUCAGAGAGGAGGAAAUUAAGGCUUAGAGCUGCACCUUCUAAAUACUGUAACCACUAGCUACAUGUAACUAUUUAAAUUUAAAUUAAUUAAAAGUAAAUAAAAUUUAAAAUUCUGUUCCUCAGUCACACUAA